UUUUGUGAGCACCCUGUGGUGCGUUGGUGCUAUUAAAAGACGCACAGCAUUGAACUCUGUCUCCUGCAUUUGACUCCACACCCACGACACCCGGAGCAUUACACAUCAAAGAGAGAGACUCCGUUCAGCUGAACUGUCAGACUCCUCCAUCUGUCUCUGAGUGUUACUUCAAAAUUGCUGGGCAAGUGGAAUUCACACUUCCAUCACCCUGUGAACAGACACUCACAGGAAGACUACUGGUGAGGUGGACAGGUCAGAGUUCACCAGCUGAGGUCAAAAUACAAUGUCAGUACAGUGCUACAGGUUCACAGUUUAGAUCCAUAUACAGUGAACCUUCAACAGUCACAAUUCAGGGUAAGAAGACUAUUUGAAUGGUUGUAAACAAUGUACUGUUGUGCCAUCAUUACCACGUUCCUCUUGUGAUAUGUUAUCAUACUGUGUGUUGUCAUAAUCUCUUACAUGAAACAAUCAAGCAAUAUAUUAUAUCUCCUUAAUUUCCCAUACUGUCGCUGCAUAAAAUAUUGACUCAAGAUCCUUAAUUCUGAAAUACCAAGGAGGGAUUUAGCUAUCAGUACAUUUCUCAAAACCACAAAAUGCUAAAUGCUUAAUUCCCCAAUUCGCACAGACCUUCCCCAGCUGACAGUGAGUUCUACAGUCAUCAGAGAGACAGAAUCAGUUCAGCUGAGUUGUGAGACUCCUCCAUCUCUCUCCCUGUGUCUCACUGUUACUUCUACAUAGAGGGGAGGAAGAAUCUUCCAGACUCAUCCUGUACUCAGACACUCACAGGAACAGAGCUGCUCAAGAGGGCAGAUCAAAUGUUUCCAGAUGUGGUCAAAGUGAUGUGUUACUAUGAUGUAGGGAGGUCUCACAUAAUCUCCUUUAAGUAACCCUGUCUCAGUCACUGUUCAGGGUAAGUAGGUGGUUCAUAAAAUUAUACACGUCACUGUUAUACCGUAUUAAUUAUGCUCGUUCUGAAAAUGAGAUCUUCUGUCGUAUUUCCUAAAAGUCUAAAUUUCUCAUAAUGAAAGGAAUUACUGUACUUUGUACAAACAUAAAUGCUGAAAUAUUUGAACAUUUGAUUAAUGGAUUUUCCUUACUGUUAUUAUGUAUGGAUUACCUGUGAUGUUUUUGAAAUACAACUUUCAAAGUGACACUAUUCUCCUGAUCUCACAGACUCACCUCCUCCCAGGCUGACGGUCAGUUCUACAGUCAUCAGAGAGAGAGACUCAGUUCAGCUGAACUGUCAGACUCCCCCAUCUGGCUCUGUGUCUUAGUGUUACUUCUAAUCCUCACCCUGUACGCGAUCACUCACGGGGACUGAGCUGCUCUCGUGGGCAGGUCAAAGUUCAUCAGCUGAGAUCAAACUGAGAUGUUUUUACACUGUAGAAUCUCACUAUCCAUCGAUGCACAGCGGUUCAGUCUCUGUUACUAUUAUUGAUCCAAAACCAGACAUUAUAGUCAAUAUUUAUGAGGACUUCAUCAUCUGUUUGAUUCCUGGAUCCGUCAGUCCUGACACCACCUGUAACCUGUAUGUUGGAGAGGAAAGUCAGCCAUCCUUCACAGCAAAGAUCAUGAAGAGAAAAGCCACCUCAGCAUCCGGACAGCAGUUCUGUCAUUUCACUCCAAAACAUAGUGAUCUGAUCAGUCGUCUACAGUCAGUGAGGCGUAAGGAGGUGAGCUGUGACUACAGAUUGAGCUCAGGACCAAACUCUCUCUCUCUCCACGCAGUGAUGGGCACAGCUUUACAGAUCUGGUGGGAGUUCACAUCAGUGAUCCAACAACUAUACAGACACAGUGGGUUUGACUCCAGGUUCUCGAUCUACUUUGCCGUACAGCACGGCAGCGAGUCCUACAGAAGUUUCAACUGUUACUUGUACCUUUACCCCAGACACCACACUGACACCAACUACCAGUAAGUAGAUUCACCAAUUUUAACUUAGUUUGCAAAUACAAUGACUUUGUUUACAUUCAUUCACUAAAGCUCUGACCGGUUAACUAAUAAAUAUAUUCAUAGCUGCUUGUAAUUUCAGUCGAGAUUUUUAACCACUUUUAGUCCAUCUGAUUUGUAGGUAAUGUGUAGUGGACUUCUCUCUUUAUGCUUAUUGAAAGACCUUAGAUAUUACAUUAACUUUCAUUUGUUCUUGUGUAAUAUGAGUAAUAUCUUCUCACCAGGUUUGACCUCCCCUUUGACCCCUAGCAGGGCAGUGAAUCCUUCAUCAGGUCUCUUAGUCAUCUUUAUCUAGUUAGCAAAUAUAAGUAAAACAAAUAGAGUUGCUUUUUCUUCUCCAUGAUUUUUUUUUCCACAUCCCAAAUUUGCCUCAUUACAAAAAGAGGUUGAUAUUUGAUUGAUUAAAAUCAACACGUCUUUUUUUAUAAUCAGAUCCAAUGAUUUGCUUUGCAUCAGGGUCGACUGUUUGCUGUACUUUGACCACUGACACCCCAGCAUGUCCAACUGAAAGAGGUCAAAGCUCCACAGAAAGUGAAGUGGAAUCAAACAGUCAAGAAAGCAUUCUGUGUAAGAAUCCUUUUCUAGUUGUCUUUUCUCACACAUAUGAAAACAGAGCUGUGCACGUUUUCUUAGAAGAACAAGAGCUAAUGACCUCUCCUGAUGUCAUCAUGUCACCAAAUAGUGGGGCAAUUAUGGCAGGCAGCAGUGGGUGUGGCUUCUGGAGUGGGCGUGCUCCUGGUAGGAUUGACAGCUGUCUGUCUCUGCAGGAGGACCAGCGAGUACAUUUGAUUUUGCAAAACAAAUCAUUUGAACAUUUACCGUGCUAACAUGAAUAGAAAACCAAUUCUCAGAGGUAAGAUUUCUCUUGUGAAUUUGAUGCAGAUUGUAUCAACCUUUAGUUCUGUAUUGUCCAUGAUGUGAUGUUCUUACCACAACCUUCUUAUACUUUUAUGUUGUACAGACCUACAGCCAGACAGGAUGAUCACAGACAAUGUAUUUUCCAAACAAAAUACAUCAAACAUACACACACAUACGACUUACAUAACUAUAUACACGCAUGCACAAACACUGUAAUCCCAUUUUCAUUGUGUUUCUGUUGUAGAUGAUUUGGUGUCUAUGGGAGCGGUGAGCAGGGGAGUCAUGGUGGAUUCAGGAGAUGCUGGAAUCGAUUCUCAGAUCACUUAUGUACUGUACGCAUUCAUGCCCUCAAGUUUGUCCCUCAGAACUCAGAACCAUCUGCACGUGCACAGCUACUGUACAUGCUUAAACUUUGGGCCUAACCAUAUCAACCUUAUCAAAACGCAUAUAUGACACUUAAAACAGAAAGUAAUGUAUCAGAGCAUCAGCAGCGUGAGAAUAGAGCUGUAGAUCUGCAGGGGGGUUUGAGACAUGAGGAGAAGUGUGAAAUGACAUCAAGCCUUGUUACUUGCACUUCUUCUGUUUGGCUGUUAGUAACGCAAGAGGUCAAACUCGACUAAGUAACACACAUGCAAUGUAGACAUGUGAAAUACACAUGAUCCCCCCUCAAACACACCCUCAUACAUACAUACACAACCUCUUACUCAUGGAAUUAUCUCUCAGGUCCCGUUGAUGUGGAUACACAGGCAUUUGCAAAUGAACGUUGGCUCCCGAGUGGCACUGCAUCUCAGUGCUAGAGGCGUCACAACAGACACCCU